rnacentral:sRNA from 1 species
UACAUCUAACCUAACCCUAUACCUAGGAC